GACCCCUUAGCUCAGUGGUAGAGUGUGUGAUUCCAGCUUUCCUUCUGAGGAAGUGCUUCCACAAGGCCAUCCGUUCGAUCCGGGUAGGGGUCA